rnacentral:tRNA from 1 species
CGGGGUGUGGCCCAGUUGGCUAGGGCGUCUGGUUUGGGACCAGAAGAUCGUGGGUUCGAGUCCCACCACCCCGA